rnacentral:rRNA from 1 species
AGCAGCCGCGGUAAUUCCAGCUCCAAUAGCGUAUAUUAAAGUUGUUGCAGUUAAAAAGCUCGUAGUUGAAUUUCGGGGUUAGUAGGUUGGUCAUGCCUCUGGUAUGUACUGGUCUCACUGAUUCCUCCUUCCUGAUGAGCCGUAAUGCCAUUAAUUUGGUGUUACGGGGAAUUAGGACUGUUACCUUGAAAAAAUUAGAGUGUUUAAAGCAGGCUCACGCUUGAAUACAUUAGCAUGGAAUAAUGAAAUAGGACAUCCGAUUCUAUUUUGUUGGUUUCUAGGAUCGAUGUAAUGAUUAAUAGGGAUAGUUGGGGGCAUUAGUAUUCAAUUGUCAGAGGUGAAAUUCUUGGAUUUAUUGAAGACUAACAACUGCGAAAGCAUUUGCCAAGGAUGUUUUCAUUAAUCAAGAACGAAAGUUAGGGGAUCGAAGACGAUCAGAUACCGUCGUAGUCUUAACCAUAAACUAUGCCGACUAGGGAUCGGAUGAUGUUAAUUUUUUAAUGACUCA